UGGCGGCGAGCUUUGGUCAACUCGGAUUCUGACAGCGUGGUCAGUUCCUGGCCAUCGACCAGCACGCUACCCUCGGUUGGGCGCUCCAGCAGGUUUACACAACGUAUAAGCGUACUCUUACCCGCGCCUGAGGCACCGAUAACGCCAUAAAUUUGUCCAGCUGGCACAUGCAGGCUGACGUUGUUCAACGCCUGGAUGGUGCGGGUGCCCUGGUGGAACACUUUGGUGAUAUUCGAAAGUUUUAUCAUUGAUUAUUUAUUAUCGUCAUUAAGUUAGUCGUGGCAUCUCGAAUGCCUGAAACGGGCAACGCCGUCAAUGAAAUGGAUGUUAAGGCAUCCAGACGUCUAAAUCAAUCAGGUUUAUGCGAAGAGCACUUUCUUGCAGGUCGAAACAUGCGAUACUAGCGUCACAUGCCUUAUUAAGGAGCUAUAAAAGGUGGCGAAGAGCGUACCCGCAAUUUUUCUUGACCGUGAUGGCACCAUUAAUGUCGAUCACGGCUAUGUCCAUGAGAUCGACAACUUUGAAUUUAUCGACGGUGUUAUUGACGCCAUGCGCGAGCUAAAAAAAAUGGGCUUUGCGCUGGUGGUAGUAACCAACCAGUCUGGCAUUGCUCGCGGUAAAUUUACCGAAGCACAGUUUGGAACGCUGACCGAGUGGAUGGACUGGUCGCUGGCGGACCGAGAUGUCGAUCUGGAUGGUAUCUAUUAUUGCCCGCAUCAUCCGCAGGGUAGUGUUGAAGAGUUUCGCCAGGUCUGCGAUUGCCGCAAACCACAUCCGGGGAUGCUUUUGUCAGCACGCGAUUAUUUGCAUAUUGAUAUGGCCGCUUCUUAUAUGGUGGGCGAUAAAUUAGAAGAUAUGCAGGCAGCGGUUGCGGCGAACGUGGGAACAAAAGUGCUGGUGCGUACGGGUAAACCUAUUACGCCUGAAGCAGAAAACGCGGCGGAUUGGGUGUUAAAUAGCCUGGCAGCCCUGCCGCAAGCGAUAAAAAAGCAGCAAAAACCGGCACAAUGAUUAAAAGAUGAGCGGUUGAAAUAAAAAUGCAUUUUUCCGCUUGUCUUCCUGAGCCGACUCCCUAUAAUGCGCCUCCAUCGACACGGCGGAUGUGAAUCACUUCACACAAACAGCCGGUUCGGUUGAAGAGAAAAAUCCUGAAAUUCAGGGUUGACUCUGAAAGAGGAAAGCGUAAUAUACGCCACCUCGCGACAGUGAGCUGAAAGCCGCGUCGCAACUGCUCUUUAACAAUUUAUCAGACAAUCUGUGUGGGCACUCGAAGAUACGGAUUCUUAACGUCGCAAGACGAAAAAUGAAUACCAAGUCUCAAGAGUGAACACGUAAUUCAUUACAAAGUUUAAUUCUUUGAGCAUCAAACUUUUAAAUUGAAGAGUUUGAUCAU
rnacentral:rRNA from 1 species